rnacentral:rRNA from 1 species
AUGAAGGAGUUGGGAUUGAAGGAGGAGGACUUGGACGACGUGGUCUUCGAUGAGCAACCUGCGCCGCCGGAGGGGCCGAGAUGGGUAGCCCUAGCUAGGGUUAACACCUCCAAAACCUACAGUCAUACUUGGUUUUUCAGAAACAUGAGAUCGGCAUGGGAUAUUGCGCAGGAGGCCAGGUUCAAGCCUCUGGAGGAAAACUUGUAUACGGUCACAUUCACUUGCUUGGGUGAUUGGGAG